rnacentral:snRNA from 1 species
GUUAACAAUUAUUCCCUAAACAUGGGCAGCAGGUACAUAGAUUAGCAUAGCAGAUUAGCAUGGCCCCUGCGAAAGGAUGACACGCAAAUCCGUGAAUAAAAAUGUGGUUCU